rfam:Ascoidea rubescens DSM 1968 unplaced genomic scaffold ASCRTscaffold_3, whole genome shotgun sequence.
GUUACAGUGGUCGAGUGGUUAAGGAAGCGUUCUCCUAUAAGUAAUUAUCAGAAGCAAUUUCAUCAAAUUCAUCUGAUGAAAUCUUGAGAGUAACGUAAGGUUUAUCCUCCACAGGUUCGAAUCCUGUCUGUAACG